AUGGAAGUGUGCCUGAACUUCAAGGGCUACUUUGAUAGAGUAAACAACAGGGGUUAAAAUCCCCUCACUUCCU
rnacentral:tRNA from 1 species